CAGGGGAUCGCAAGACCUUGCGCUAAAGGAGCGGCCGAUGUCUGAUUAGCUAGUUGGUGGGGUAAAGGCUUACCAAGGCAACGAUCAGUAGUUGGUCUGAGAGGACGACCAGCCACACUGGGACUGAGACACGGCCCAGACUCCUACGGGAGGCAGCAGUGGGGAAUUUUGGACAAUGGGCGAAAGCCUGAUCCAGCCAUGCCGCGUGAGUGAAGAAGGCCUUCGGGUUGUAAAGCUCUUUUAGUCGGAAAGAAAGAAUCGCAAUGAAUAAUUGUGAUUUAUGACGGUACCGACAGAAAAAGCACCGGCUAACUACGUGCCAGCAGCCGCGGUAAUACGUAGGGUGCGAGCGUUAAUCGGAAUUACUGGGCGUAAAGGGUGC
rnacentral:rRNA from 1 species